UGGCGACUCUAUUUGUUGUAUAACUGGGAGCAGCAGAGCAGAGCAAAGAUCGAGAUGAGAAGAGAGUGUGGUGCAUGGGAGUGGAGGCUCUGCGCUGAGCUGGAACAGAGACUCUCGGUCAGCUUAUAUAGAGGAAGACUAGAAGACUGGACUUAGAGUGAGGGCAGUGAGUUGUACUAUGGGGAAGCAAUGAUGGUUUGUCCGGCGGUCAGGGGGAAGGAUGAUUGGGGACUGGGCUGGGCAGCCAUUGCCAGGACUCCUGUAUGUGCUCCUCCUCUUCAUGACCAUUCUAAUGGCAUUGCCAAUGCUUGAGAGCUAGUCCUACUAGCAUGCAAUGGAAUGCAUGGGAAAAUGUACUUACUCAGCCUAGCUAGCUGCCACAGCCAUUUUAAUUUCCCCAUGAAUAUCCCACCAGUUAAUUUCCCCAUGAAUAUCCCCCCACUCCAGUACUCCUACUCCAAUUCUUGUCUUGAGUUGCAUACUGCUGGUCCAGAUUCAAGGGUAGGGACCAUUUGCCAUUGACAGUGUACUACUGGCGAUUGAUUAUGAAGUUGUUGGUGCUAAUCAAGGACUCACUAGUGCUACUACUACUUGAGCAGACAGCUGUCAUCUGCUGCUGCUGCUGCUUUCCAUAUUCUGAAUCCGGGUGGGAGGGAGGAAAAAGGAGGGGGGCCAAUGUGCCGGGCCUCUGCUGGGAGCACCAUCAAUAAGCAGCAAGGAAGCAAAGAGAAGCAAGCGCUGGCUGCACUGCACUCCCCUGUCUGGCCUUCCCAAUGCACUCAGCCACCUGUUAGUCCAGAAAGGAAACAUUUUUCCUGGAUACAUGAACUCUAUGGAGUAUAUUGACCAUUGCAGCCACUGUGGGUACUUCUUUGCAACAACAUAUAUAUAUAUAUAUAUAUAUAUAUAUAUAUAUAUAUAUAUAUAUAUAUAUAUAUAUAAUAUAUAUAGUAUGGCAGCUAGCUGCAAGCAAAUGUGUUUGUUUUCUUGUUCUUUUUUCUUUUGUGCAGGCCUGAAGAGGAGCUAGCUUCUUCUUCUUCGAGAUGCAUGGGAUGCGUUGCUGCAUGAGCCAAUAGGAGCAGAGGAGUAUGAGGACAAAGUUUCAAAGGUGGCAGGGAGUCCUAGAGAUGUGUCGACAAGGAGGAAUGAUGGGUUUCCUUGUACCCGUACAAAUCUCUCAGUCCGCGGCCAACACAACCCCCAUGCUUCCAUGCAAUGCAAUGCCAAUGCAAUGGCUUGGCCGCCUUUUGAGGUCCUUCUCCCUCUCGCCCGGGCCUCCAGUCCGGCAAUCAUGCCCAAUAUAUGCUCUCGUGCCCCCUUCUUCUUCCUCUCCAUUAUGACUACUCCGUUUCUCUAGGGCACACGUCGGGCCCCGCAUGUCGGUCAAGCCCUUGAGAAACUCAUGACAGUCUUAAUUCCAACACACAACUUCUACAAAAAAAAAAUGUUUCUAUUGUGAUGAUACUGUGUAAAUUAAGAAGACUACAAAUUAGUCUGGAUUGACAACAUUUCUAACAUAGUCUAUGUUGCUUGUAAAACAUGCAUGCUUGUAGUAUACUAGUACUGCAUAUAUGCGGUGGCUUCAUUAUAGUAUUAGGAUUGUCUUUUUGGUCCAAUCCAAUUCAAACACCACAGCUUCAUCGGUGCAUGCAAUCCAUCUCGUGGCAAGUGCUAAACCCUUUUAAGAAAUGGAGCUCGUGGGGUUUUGGGAGGAGGCGAGGGGGAUGUGGAUUUGGUUGGGGAAAUCAAAGGGGAUGUGUGUUGUUUCCUUUGCCCUAACCAAGAACAAAGAUUAAUUAAGCUAAAUCUUACUCCAUGAUCCAUGCAUCAGCUAGGAGCUACCUUUGAAAUACUACUACUACUUGGCCAGCCGUGCCGUACAUGCUGCGUGGUUGACCGGUGGGGGUCCAAGCACCACUCAUCGGCCGGCCAUGAAUAUUCUUCUUGUCCUCUUCCUGCUCUCUCUCUCCAGUCCUAUAAUCCAUGCAUUCAUCUCACUAUGUAUAUAUAGGCUCAUUGCAAAUUAAACAGAUCAUAAAAAGCAAAGAUCAUCUGUUUUUUUUAUUUAGAUCAAGACGGUUCGACUCCCAUAAUUGAAUUAGAUGAAAAGACCAUCUGCUAAACGUUUGCCAAACAGAAGAACAUACAGUUCAUAUGCAAAACACUUUUAUUGUCGGAAAAAGCACAUUUUUUUGGUGUGUGUUCUAUCUAAUCAACUCUCUGUGUCUUAUGUGUUAUAUACUAUCUAAGUAAACUGUUUCCUGCAAAUUUUUCCGUGGCGCGGUCUCUAUUCCGCAUCCGCAAUAUAUCCUCUCAAUUUCUUCACAUAUAAAUUUCCAUGAAUUAAUUUGGUUUUCAUAGCAACGAGAUCCAAAAGGGCAUUAAUUAUCUGCCUGCCUGCCACAGUAAUUUUACUUCUUGGAUAUACACACAUAUAUAGUACACUUACUAUUGGCGACCUUGUCCUGGACGCAUAACUCCAUUGUUUGCUCGAACUUGUAAAACAGGUGGUCACGGAUAUAUCUACGUGGCACACGUAUGCAUGUCUAGUCCAAAUUAGCAUAUGGGUUGGCGGCAACAGCAUGCAUACAUGAAAGCAGCAACGGCUAGCUUUUAAUUUAGCAUGUCUGGUCAGUCACACACACACACACACACACACACACACACUAAUUUUCUCUCUUCUUUUUUCAAAAUUUGUACAGACAUUAUUAUGAAAAUUAGCAGUACUACACUGCCAGUACAGAGUACUACUGCUACUGCUAGGUCUCAUGAUCAAAGUUGCUAGCUUAGCUAGGUGUGCUGUAGAGCUGUAGGAGUGUAGUAGUAGCUUGCAAUGGUGUGGCUGCUGGCUUGACCAGAACUUUGAAAAAUGCAUGCAAUGCAUCUAUGCUUGGACAGCAGCAGUCUACUACUACAAGUACUUAUCACUCUACAUACAGUACACAGAACAGAGAUCAAAGUUGCUGCUGCUGUUGUUCUUCUGAAGCAGCAGCCAUGCAUGCAUAAGGCUGACAGACGGUGGUGUUCUGUAUUAUAGCGUAGCUGGUUCUCGUUUGAUUACUGCUGUCAAGAGAACCCCGUGCGAUGCUACGGAACAACGGAAAGUGUAUCAAGCACGAGCCGGUGGAGGCGAAGUCUGGACAUUGAUCAACCGGCGCUCCCCUUUGAGUUGAGAUCUGCAGGCGCCUCCUCAGCCUCGUCAACGACGGUGUGGUUCUCGCUUCCCAGCAGGGGUGGAGAUCUCCAGCGGGCUUCUGCUUCCCUGUCUCCGUCACGCCUUGUAUCCUCGAUGGGGGUCUCUGGGUCGGUGGUCAGGGGCCGGACGAAAUCCCUGCCCGGCUGCGUCCGGUGCCAACGACGGCGACGCCUACGGGCGCCUUUACCUCCUUGGAGGCGUGGUCGUGGCCCCUGACCAUUCCUUCUCCAUCCUCGGGCUCCAGGGGAAACCCUUGGUUCGGUUUGCCAUGGCUCCGAAUCAGGCAGCAGCAGCGACACCUUGGCAUCGUAUCCUCCUUGGAGGCACUGCUUUGGUAGCCCGUGGGAGUUCGAGUGUCGUGGCAUGAGAUGGCAGCCUCUCUAUUCUUGGCGGCGAGGCUUGGUGGUAGCGCGAAGCCGGUGUUGAUCCUCUGCUCUGGGCGUUGGACUUCAAGGCGCGAUGUUCGUCACUAUCGGUUCCCUAGAUGAUGCAUCCUUCCCAAUUCAGUCUGGUCCAUUCCUCUACUUGCCGACCGGGGCUUGAUCUGCUUCCAGAUUGGCCUCCCUUCUUAGGCGUAUUGUUGGGGGUUGGCCAGGGUGGUCUUGGUGUCAUGGUCGCAGAUUUGGGUGUCCUGCAGCUAUCGUGAAGCGGCCUUCAAGGUCUUGUGCUCUGCCUUCUUUGCCCUAGGGCUGGAGGUGGGCAAGGCGAGUCUCAUGUCAUUGUGGUUUGAAGCUUGGUGGUGUCUCUUUAACCUGCUCUGACCCCAAGUUGGCUCAAGAUCUGUUGGCUGUAGGUCUAGGCUAGCUAGGGCUCCGUCUUAGGUCGUCCGGAGAGGACGGUCAUGUUUUUUCUUGCUUGGCCUCGCCGUUGGCGGGUGCGGUGCAUAUGUUGUAAAUCUUGUAACUUUUGGUUACUCACGCUUCUUUGCGCUUUCUUCUUAAUGAAAAUGACAUGCUUCCAGGCGUGUUCGAGAAAAAAAAAUUAGAGUCUGUUUUGAGGAACAAAUUGGCAGUUAAAUGCUUGAAGUUCAGUUCAGUUUGCUGCUGGAAUAAAGAAGAAACAACAAUUUUGAAUUGCGAUGAGAUCUAUCGAAGAACACAGCUAGCUCAUAUAUAAUGCUCUCCAUGGAAUUUGGGGUGAAAAAGGGAAGGAAAGAAGAGGAAAGCUGAAAAGAGGCAACUAAAGGAGAUGCUAGUCAAGUGUUCUCCAAAUUUUGUGUUGAAUGGCGGCUAUAUUCAUGAGUAGCAGCAAGUAGCCUAACUAGUCAAGUGUCCUUGCUGUGAUGAAUUGAAGCAGGCAGGGCAGAGCAGAGCUGUGUGUCCUCCUAGAAGCUAUAGCUAGACCUGAAGAAAGUGCAUAUCCUCCUCUAUCACUUUUCUCACCGCCAAGUUGUAAAGGGGAGAAAGACAUGCAUGGAAACUGCAAAGUUGCCUCGCUUUUACAAACCAUUGCCUUUUUGCAGGAUCUGAUCUCUAUUUCCUUUCCUGUUACCUCUCCAUGCAGCUGCUAUGCUGCUAUAGUAGCGUAUGAUCUUGGCCAUCCAUGCAUUUCUCCGUCUUGUAGCUCGGCUCGGCUGCCUAAUUGCUGGCUAUGUUGGUUGCUUUCUGGAGACAGAGAGGGAGAAUAUGCUCCAUGUUGUCCAAAAGGGAAACGCAAAAUCAAUUGCAUCCACGGUGUGCAAGAAAAGGAGAAGGACAGAAAUGAAGGGAAGCUGUAUAACUUUAACACAGCUGCUAUACAACUAUACAAGAGAAGAAGCAGAGACUCUGACAUUGAACUUGAUCAUGGGCCAUUUGGAAUAUGCUCUGACAUGGAGGUGGUAAACAAGCUCAAUCGGUUUAUCAAAAACCAGCAAGGUACAAGCAAGGGUCCAGACACUGAAGAACUGAACAAAAAGCAAGAUAAACCAGGCGAGAGAACCGCCCAGCAAAGUUGCAGACGCUAAACUAUCAGAACAACUACAAGAGUCACAAAACAUCACGAUAAGAAACAGAAAGGCUCAUUUGUGUACUAAGAUGAUAUAACUUUGCAAUAAAAUUGGCUGUGCGCAUCGUUUCAUC